CCCUACAACUUGAAACCUAAUAUUUGUGGCUCAAAAUCGUUGACGAAUAAAAUGUUUAAGGUGAUGAGGUGGUCGUGCAAGAGGUGGGAGGGAGCGAGAAAAAGAGAGGUAACACUUAUGGUUCGUAGAGGAAGUGCCACCAUCUUCUUUUUUCUCCCUUUCUUUUUUUGAAUCCUACUCCUUUCUCUGCUUCCUUUUUUUCUUUUCUUUUUCAUUUAUUUUUUUAAUUUUAUGAUUAUUUUUAUCAAUGACAUUUUGGUCCAAAAAUAAAGGUAUGAGAAAAAAAGGAUCAUUUUAAACAAUGAGCAAAAGGGACAAAAAUGUCCCUCACCCCUCAUUAAAAGGCUCACGGCCGUAUUUCUCUUUCUUCCUCAAAUUCUUUUCUUCUCUAUGGAAGCAGACCAGUGAAAGUGAGAGAGGAAAGAAAAAGAUUUACUAUUCAUUAUCACCUUCAAAUCCACUUUUCUAACAAACCAGAGCUUUAAUGAUGACUCGUUUGCAACUACACGCUCUCGUCUCCCUCUUUAUUUCUAUACAACUUUUGCAGUGAGUAACCAUGAGAACUCAUUUCUAUUUCUCAUUCUUUUUUUUUUUCACGUUAUGAGGUGCGAGGGAUGAAAAUAUAUGAUUUUGAUUCCUUAGAGGAAUCUCCUCUAGCUCGAAUUCGAGAGGGAUUUUAUCCCAAGUUUAUGCAAUAUAAGAGUUUGUUGAGGCUUGGAUUGGCCAAAGGCUUAGGAUCACUGCAUUUAAGAUCUCGACGGUCUUCUGUGAUAACCAAGUUGAUCUAGCGAGUUUCUACUUCUUCGGAGUGACUAGUCUAAUUUUGGUGGUUUUCUCUCGUUACCUAUAUAAUUACCAUGUGUAUUUAUAAUUUGAAAGACAUGAAUUUCGUGUAUUAUGAUCUAUUUUAAAAACUUGUAUACAUACAUAUAUGUAUUAUAAUUUGUAUUAAUUGAAUUCGAAAUUCUUAUUUGAAAUCUUUUCAUUCAUCUAGUCAUGUCAAUUCUAUUUUAUUUUGGUAUAAUGUAUAUGUAAAAAAAAGUAUGGCUCAUAGGCUCCUACUUAUGUAUUAUCAAUAUUAUUGAUAUGUUAAAUUAAGAAUUACAGGUUAAAGAUCACUAUAAUGUUCUAGCUAACAGCCUAUUAUGACCUAGGCAUAAUGAGUUCAUUAGUUAAAGUGUUACAAUUUUACACUGCACCAAUUUAAUAUGAGCUUAUACAUUGAGUCCAACUAUUCUUGUAUAGGAAACGACCGCUUCAGUAACAUAGCAUUCCCCUAUAUAUGAUACAUCCUUCAAAUAGACACAUCUAAGUUUGUGGAACUAGAUACUUUGUUUCAUUGAAAAAUUUCCAAGACAUCCUUUUCUUUUAAUAACUCUCUAAUUAUCCCGCAAUAGAUAUCAAAUUCGAUUCGACCCGAUCAUUCAAAUUAGAAUACCAGUCAUUCGGUCUACUAACUGAUUUGAAUUAUCAUUUAAACCUGUUAAGCAAUUUACUCAGUCAAAUUUGAUCAAACUCAGCAAAAACUGGACAAUUCCUAGUUAAACUCGAGUUGACCCACUAGGUUAGAGAAAUUUGAAGUUACGUCCUCCUAAAAAGAAAAACCAACGUUUAUCACUAUACUCAGGGCUGGGCGAAAAAAUCCCAAUCUUGGAUUUUAAACCCAAUCCAAACCAAAUCAUUUUAAAAAAACCAGUUUUUUUUAAAAAAAAUCCAAACCACAUUGCAUCAAUUUUAUGGUUUGGUUUUUUAAUCCAAACCAUUUAACCAACUUAAAUCCAAAUCCGGAUCCAAAUCCGAAUUAGGAUCCAAAAUUGGAAAAACCCUAAUUUGGUGAACCAGUUCAUAGUUCACACUACACACAAAUCAUCGCGCUUCUCCUUCAACUGUGGCGUCUUCUCCUUCGGCGCUUCUCCUUCGGUCUUCUCCUUUCUCAUUCGCCGUUGUCAUUCUUUGGUUUCACCGUCUCCGUUUCCCCGACUUGCCGUCACAAGUGUAGGCUUUCCAUUCGCCUCUGCUCGCACUUCUUGCCACUGGGUCAUAGCGAGCACAUCAAAGUUGGUGAAACUGAACCAGAACAAGCAGUUCCAGCACAAGCAGAACAAGCAGUAGCCCCUGUUCUAGUUUUCUGCUUCCAGAGCAAGAUGACUGAAAACACUAAUAUUGAAGCAGCAGGGAUGUCCGCUAGCACUCAACCAUCUUCUCCACCGUCAGGUUUUCAUAAGAAUCGCUCAGCUGUCUGGGAUCAUUUUGAUGUAGAGAAUGCUACCGAGAAGAAGGAUAAAUGCAAAUAUUGUAGUAGCUUAAUACAAUAUGGGAAUGGAACCACCUCAAUGGGUGGUCAUUUGAGAAGAUGCAAGCAAAAUCCUAAUAAUGAUUCGAACAAAAGAAGAAAAACAACAACCACCCCGACUAUAGAUGAGUGUGAUAUUUUAAAUUCACCCAGUGCUUCCAAAUUUUACCAAGAGGAGGCUCGAAGGGCACUUGUGGAAAUGUUUAUUGGAGAAGAGGUACCAUUUCGCUUCGUUGAAAGCCCGAAAUUCCGAAGAUUUGUACAUGCCCUACAAGCAAGAUUCGAAGUUUCUUCACGGACUACAUUAGCACGUGACAUUGGAACUCUUUAUGCUGAAGAGAAGAUGAAGUUGCAAGAUUUUCUCUCCGCAAAUUGUGGUAGAGUAUGUCUAACCACUGACACUUGGACUUCAAUUCAAAAUUUUACUUAUAUGAGUUUGACAGCACACUUUGUUGAUUUGGAUUGGAAAUUACAUAAAAAAAAUACUUAAUUUUUGUCAAGUGACAAGCCAUUCAAGAGAGGUUAUAGGAGCAACAAUUGAAUCUUAUUUAAAUAAUUGGAAUUCGAAUCGGGUAUUUAGUGUGACAGUUGAUAAUGCCUCGUCUAAUAAUGUUGCAAUUAAAUAUCUGAAGUAGCGAUUGAAUUCUUGGAAUAGCAUUAUUUUGAAUGGUGAAUUCAUUCAUAUGAGGUGUUGUGCACAUAUUAUAAAUUAAAUUGUAAAAGAAGGGUUAAAAGAGAUUGAUGAAUCAGUCUUGAGGAUUCGUAGUGCAGUAAUAUGUUAGAUCUUCUCCAUCUAGAGCUAGUAGGUUUCAAAAGUGUGUUGAACUAGAAAAACUCCAAUAUAAAGGCUUGCCUUGCAUGGAUGUUGAGACUAGGUGGAUCUCUACCUAUCAAAUGUUAGAGGUAGCUUUGAAGCAUCGCAAAGCAUUUGAGUUGCUUGCUUUGAAAGAUAAUACCUAUAUAGGAGAGAUGAAUGGAGGAAAAUGGAGAGGUGUUCCUUCUGAUUCAGACUGGGAGUAUGCUGAGUCCAUUGUACCAUUUUUGCGAGUGUCAGUGAUGCCACUAUACGUGUUUCUGGUACCUUAUAUGUUACCAGUGAUAUGUAUAUGAAGGAAGUAUUUGCAAUUGGACAAUUUAUUUGUCAUUCUUGUGAUUCUGUUGAUUUUAGUACUAUGUCAAUGGCAGAAAGGAUGAUGGUUAAGUAUGAGAAGUAUUGGGGCAAUCCUGAUUUGGUGAAUAUGUUGUUAUUGAUUGCUAUUGUACUUAAUCCAAUGCAAAAGAUUGAGUAUGUCAAUUAUUUCUUGGAUUACUUAUUUGGAGAAGAAAAAGGAGGCGAAUUGAAGUCAAAGUUGUCCAAGUGCAUAAAGUUACUUUAUCAAUAAUACCAAAGUUCUGAGGAAGCAAGUGAAGCUGAUACGCAAGAUGUUCAAGCCAACAACAUUAAUACCGAUCUUCAUGGCAUGGGCUUUUUUCUGCAAGCAACCAGUCGUAGAACAAAUACAAGAUUUGAACUUGAUAGAUAUUUACAAGAAGAAUGCGAGCCAUAAUCCCAUAAAUUCGAUAUACUAAACUGGUGGAAGGUCAACUCAACCCGAUUUCCAAUUCUUGGAAAUAUGGCUCGUGAGGUAUUGGCUAUACCUGUUUCUACGGUAGCUUCGGAGUCUGCAUUUAGUACUAGAGGAAGAGUCCUCGAUCCAUACCACAGUUCCUUAACACCUAGAAUGGUAGAGGCCUUAGUCUGCACAGGAGAUUGGCUUAAGGAAGAUCUCUUCUCUGCUUUAGAUGAUGAUGGUGAAGUUCUUCAUCAAGUUGAUCAAGAUAUAUUUUCCUCUAAUGAUGGUGCUUGUUCUAUGGCGGCAUCAAUUGAUAAUCUUGAUGAUGACUAGGUCUAUGACAAUGAAGAUUAAUGCCAGCAUAACUGUAAAGUGAUGAAGUGAACAGGGACAAAAAGUACUUUUGUUUAAGCUCUUCAACAACAUGAUCUCAUUCAGCAGCUCUAAGUCUGCAGAUCAUGUAAAACAAUGACUCUAAUGUGAUGAAAUGUAAAAAAAUAAAAUAGUUUUGUUUAAUUUUAUACAACAUUCAUAACCCUUGAAUAACAUGAUAUCAUUUUGUAUAGUUUUAAUCAUGCUAUUUGUUCUUAAAGACCUAAAUGGCUAACAACAUGAUAUUGCCAUUGUUCAAUCCUCUGAUAUUAUUCAUGUUGUUAUUUCCUUGAUUCAAGCAUUGUAUCCAGUGGAAUUGAAGAAUAUUGAGAAUAAAACUAUCUUCUUGGUGUUC